GUUCACUCUGAGGACCCUAUUGACAUCCUAAACAUAAAGCUAAAACGCCAAAAAUACUUUAAGGGAUGGGGAUCUCACCUCUUUGGUCAUGCCAGGAAGAGGAAAAAACAGAUUAAAAAGGAGCUGGAAGAGAUUGAGAAGAAAGAGGAAUCUGGACCCCUAGAUCCUGAGACAUAUGAGAGAAGGACUAUCUUGUGUGCUGAGUUGAACAAAAUACUGGCUGAUGAAGAGCUUUUCUGGCUUCAGCACUCGAACGAGCGAUGGUUUCUUAAAGGGGAUCAUAACACAUCCUACUUCCACCGUAUAACUAAUGAAAAAAAAGAAUACUAUUCAUUCCCUUACUGAUGGGGAGGUGGUUAUAUAGAAGGCACAAAAGAUCUCCUAGCCCCUGCAACAGCCUAUUACAAAGAUCUCUUUGGGCCUACCAAUGGGAACUUAUUCCACUUAUCUACUGAAACCUGGUCUAGGGAUGAGAGGCUUACAGAAGAUGAUAACCUUAUCCUGACCAGUGUUUUUAACGAAGAAGAAGUUAAGAAAGCCCUGUUUAGUAUGGAAAGCAACAGAGCUCCUGGCCCUGACAAUAUCCCAGCAGAGUUUUAUAAACACUGUUGGGACUUCGUAAAAAAAGAUAUAAUUCAGUUGUUUGAAGCAUUCCAUAAUAAUACCCUGGACGUAGCUCGUCUGAAUUACAGGAUUAUUACCUUGAUUCCAAAGCUAAAUGGGGCAAAAAGAAUUCAGCAGUAUCGCCCCAUAUAUCUCCUUAAAUGUCCUUACAAGCUAAUUACUAAGGUGUUGGACAACAGGGUGGCUAUCUUUGUGGACAAGCUGAUUAGCAAACACCAAAAUGCUUUCAUUAAGCACAGAAACAUUAUGGAUGGGAUCCUUACGUUACAUGACGUGCUGCAUCACACACACCAUAAAAAGAAAGUUGGGGUAGUGUUGAAACUAGAUUUUGAAAAAGCGUACGUCAAGAUAAAUUGGGACUUCCUCAUUUAA
rnacentral:rRNA from 1 species